rnacentral:rRNA from 1 species
GUAACACGUGGGUAACCUGCCCUAAAGUGGGGGAUAACAUUUGGAAACAGAUGCUAAUACCGCAUAAAACCUAACACCGCAUGGUGUACGGUUGAAAGAUGGUUUCGGCAAUCACUUUAGGAUGGACCCGCGGUGCAUAAGUUAGUUGGUGAGGUAAAGGCUCACCAAGACCGUGAUGCAUAGCCGACCUGAGAGGUUAAUCGGCCACACUGGGACUGAGACACGGCCCAGACUCCUACGGGAGGCAGCAGUAGGGAAUCUUCCACAAUGGACGAAAGUCUGAUGGAGCAACGCCGCGUGAGUGAAGAAGGUUUUCGGAUCGUAAAACUCUGUUGUUGGAGAAGAAUGUAUCUGAUAGUAACUGAUCAGGUAGUGACGGUAUCCAACCAGAAAGCCACGGCUAACUACGUGCCAGCAGCCGCGGUAAUACGUAGGUGGCAAGCGUUGUCCGGAUUUAUUGGGCGUAAAGCGAGCGCAGGCGGUUUCUUAGGUCUGAUGUGAAAGCCUUCGGCUCAACCGAAGAAGUGCAUCGGAAACUGGGAAACUUGAGUGCAGAAGAGGACAGUGGAACUCCAUGUGUAGCGGUGAAAUGCGUAGAUAUAUGGAAG